rnacentral:rRNA from 1 species
UACGGAGGGUGCAAGCGUUAAUCGGGAUUACUGGGCGUAAAGCGCACGCAGGUGGCUGAGUCAGUCGAUUGUGAAAGCCCUGGGCUUAACCUGGGAAUUGCAGUCGAUACUACUCAGCUAGAGUAUGGGAGAGGGCAGUGGAAUUCCCGGUGUAGCGGUGAAAUGCGUAGAUAUCGGGAGGAACAUCAGUGGCGAAGGCGGCUGCCUGGCCCAAUACUGACACUCAGGUGCGACAGCGUGGGGAGCAAACAGG